rnacentral:rRNA from 1 species
UAAUACAUGCAAGUAGAACGCUGAAGGAGGAGCUUGCUUCUCUGGAUGAGUUGCGAACGGGUGAGUAACGCGUAGGUAACCUGCCUGGUAGCGGGGGAUAACUAUUGGAAACGAUAGCUAAUACCGCAUAAGAGUAGAUGUUGCAUGACAUUUGCUUAAAAGGUGCAAAUGCAUCACUACCAGAUGGACCUGCGUUGUAUUAGCUAGUUGGUGGGGUAACGGCUCACCAAGGCGACGAUACAUAGCCGACCUGAGAGGGUGAUCGGCCACACUGGGACUGAGACACGGCCCAGACUCCUACGGGAGGCAGCAGUAGGGAAUCUUCGGCAAUGGACGGAAGUCUGACCGAGCAACGCCGCGUGAGUGAAGAAGGUUUUCGGAUCGUAAAGCUCUGUUGUAAGAGAAGAACGAGUGUGAGAGCGGAAAGUUCACACUGUGACGGUAUCUUACCAGAAAGGGACGGCUAACUACGUGCCAGCAGCCGCGGUAAUACGUAGGUCCCGAGCGUUGUCCGGAUUUAUUGGGCGUAAAGCGAGCGCAGGCGGUUAGAUAAGUCUGAAGUUAAAGGCUGUGGCUUAACCAUAGUAGGCUUUGGAAACUGUUUAACUUGAGUGCAAGAGGGGAGAGUGGAAUUCCAUGUGUAGCGGUGAAAUGCGUAGAUAUAUGGAGGAACACCGGUGGCGAAAGCGGCUCUCUGGCUUGUAACUGACGCUGAGGCUCGAAAGCGUGGGGAGCAAACAGGAUUA